rnacentral:rRNA from 1 species
UACGUAGGGUGCAAGCGUUAAUCGGAAUUACUGGGCGUAAAGCGUGCGCAGGCGGUUUUGUAAGUCUGUCGUGAAAUCCCCGGGCUCAACCUGGGAAUUGCGAUGGAGACUGCAAGGCUAGAAUCUGGCAGAGGGGGGUAGAAUUCCACGUGUAGCAGUGAAAUGCGUAGAGAUGUGGAGGAAUACCGAUGGCGAAGGCAGCCCCCUGGGAUAACACUGACGCUCAUGCACGAAAGGCGUGGGGAGCAAACAGG